GUGAAUCAUCGAAUCUUUGAACGCAAAUUGCACUCUCCGGGGUUAGUAGGCCUGUUUGAGUUUCAGCGUAUAAAAUAUCUACAUCGUUUCUGUGUUGCUGUGGCAUUCGUCGGAAAUUGUUUCAUCUUAAAUCUUUUGGUUUUAAGCGACUUAAAAUUUUCUUUUUGGUUCCAUGAACGUUUCUAAGAUUUAUUUCGUUACACGUUUAAGGUAUCGAUUUUUAUUAGACGUGACCAUCAUAGCGGAUCGCGCCCAUAAUCUUUCAUUAACUGACCUC
rnacentral:misc_RNA from 1 species